rnacentral:rRNA from 1 species
GGUGGCAAAACAUUUAAGAUCCUCGGUUCGAGUGCGACGACCACAUCGGUGCGCGCGUACAAACUUGACUCGAGGACACACUGUGUCUAAAACCGUGGCCUCAAAUAUUGUGUGACUACCCCCUAACAUUUAUGAAGGGGAGGAAAAGAAACUAACAAGGAUUCCCCGAGUAGCUGCGAGCGAAAAGGGAUGAGCUCAGCACGUAGGGGUGAUGCACUUGUGUGUCUACCCGGUUCCGUGUACUGGAAAAUUUGUCAUCUGCCAUGCCCAGCGUAAGGUCCAAGUUCAACUAGAAUGUGGCUUUUACUCCCAUAGAGGGUGAUAGGCCCGUAGGACGGCGCUGAUGGUGGAAAAUUUUUCCAUGGAGUCGUGUUGCUUGAUAGUGCAGCACAAAGUGGGAGGUAAACUCCUUCUAAAGCUAAAUAUCACCACGAGACCGAUAGCGAACAAGUACCGUGAGGGAAAGUUGAAAAGCACUCUGAAUAGAGAGUCAAAAAGUACGUGAAACUGCCUAGGGUCAAGCCCGUUGAACUCGAUUAUCCAAAGCGGAGAUAUGCCAAUGUGGCUGGCCUUCACUGGUCUGCUGCAGGGUAUUUAUCUUCUGCUUUACGAGGACGUUGCGAUCCAUUACGAAACCGCUAGUCAAGAAAACGACUACAGGUCCGGCAAUUGCCCCUUGGCAUCUGGUUGUUAGUCCCACAGUAGCGACGCUCAGGUCGAAAGACGAACAUCGUAACCUGGCACUUACCGUUGCGUGGUGUGCAGCCGGACGCGUGAUGGAUUUCCACGCAGACCGUCACUCCCAGUGACGGCUGAGGCAACGAUAAUAUCGAGGUACCUUCGGGACCCGUCUUGAAACACGGACCAAGAAGUCUAUCUUGCGCGCGAGCCAAUGGUACUCAGUUGAAACACCAAAGGCGCAAAAAAACAUAACUUGAAACUUGUGCGGGAUUACGGAUGAGACUCUCUGCUCGUCCCUCCAUCCCCGGUUGUUAUACCAGGCACUCGAUGCCAUAACUACCGCGAGUGCGUUGGAUGUGACCCGAAAGAUGGUGAACUAUGCCUAAUCUGUUUGAUGUGCACUUUGGGCAUAGCGGCGAAAGACCAAUCGAACCAUCUAGUAGCUGGUUCCCUCCGAAGUUUCCCUCAGGAAAGCUGGAGCAUGCAACAUUUCGGAUUCUAUUCUUAUCUGGUAAAGCGAAUGAUAAGAGGCCUUAGGUCCGAAAUGAUCUUGACCUAUUUUCAAACUUUAAAUGGGUACGUACUUGCAUGAUGUCAUUGCAACCGUUCGAACGUCGGGCCGCCCCUUGCCUUUUGGGCCGUGCCGGUCGACGUACAAGAUAUCUGUGUGCUUAGUGGGCCAAGUUUUGGUAAGCAGAACUGGUGCUGUGGGAUGAACCAAACGUGAUGUUACGGCGCCUAAAUAAACGACGCAUCAUAGAUACCAUGAAAGGUGUUGAUUGCUACAGACAGCAGGACGGUGGACAUGGAAGUUGUCAUCCGCUAAGGAGUGUGUAACAACUCACCUGCCGAAGCAAUUAGCCCUUAAAAUGGAUGGCGCUCUAGUCGUUUGCCUAUACAUUACCGCUGGCGUACAAGUGGUGCGACGGGCCCAAGCUCCGUCCGCACUUUGAGACGUCAGCGAGUAGGAGGGUCUGGUGGUGUGCGUUGAAGUGCAUGGCGUAAGCCGUCAUGGAGCCGCCACUAGCACAGAUCUUGGUGGUAGUAGCAAAUAUUCGAAUGAGAUCUUGGAUGACUGAAGUGGAGGAGGGUUUCGUUUCAACAGCAGUUGAACACGAGUUAGCCAAUCCUUAGCUCUAUGGGAAACCUGAGCGGAAGGCAAUCCGGUUAAAUUUCCGGAGCCUGUUGAGUAUAUGUUUGCAUUGGCGUUAAUACCGCCCUUUUUAACAUGGCAACAUGUAUCCUUUUCUUCGAGAAGCCAAUAAUAGAUAUCGGAAGAGGUUUCUUUUCUGUUUUACAGUUACACCGGCCAUGGAAGUCUUUCGCAGAGAGAUAUGGUUGGAUAAGCUGGUAGAGCAUGGUAUCAAAUUGCUGUGUCGAUAUCCUGUUAUUGGACCAUGAAAAUCGAAGAUAGGGGCCGCAAACUCUCAACAGCUUGUACCGAAUCAACAGCAGGUCUCCAAGGUUGACAAGUCUCUUGUCGAUAGAUUCAUGUAGGUAAGGGAAGUCGG